rnacentral:rRNA from 1 species
UACGUAGGGUGCAAGCGUUGUCCGGAAUUACUGGGCGUAAAGGGCGCGUAGGCGGCCCGCUAAGUCGAACGUGAAAUCCCCGAGCUCAACUCGGGAACUGCGUCCGAUACUGGCGGGCUUGAAUCCGGGAGAGGGAUGCGGAAUUCCAGGUGUAGCGGUGAAAUGCGUAGAUAUCUGGAGGAACACCGGUGGCGAAGGCGGCAUCCUGGACCGGUAUUGACGCUGAGGCGCGAAAGCUAGGGGAGCAAACAGG